CUGACAGUAGUCUGUGCUUCUGCUCCACAAAUACAGUUCUGGAACUUUAAGGAACCUCAGGUGUUCAAUUUCUGAUAAUGCCUCUGUGCCUGCACACUGCUGACUUGACCUCUAGGGGUCCUUAAAGUGCCUUUUUCGUCAUUUUUCGGGCUCUGGCUGAAUCAGAAUAUUCUACUACUGUAAUCCCCCUACUAUACUGUCUUAUAAUCCCUCUACGCCUGCACAGCGCUCUUAUUUGGCUCUGUGUGAUGUUCCUCCCUGUAGUAAAUAUAACUCUGGUGAUUGGACACCGCAGUAUGUCAUGUACUUUUUUUUAAAUUAUGAACUCAACAGUCGUGACAUGAAAAAACCAUGACGACAUGAAGUCACAAGAAAGCAGGUGGACAAAAUAGUUUGAAGUCGGUCUCAUAUUGGAGUAUAAGCAGGAAAACAAGGAGUGAUUGACAAGUGUAGUGUAGUAGAGAGAGUCAGUGUUGAUCAGUCGCUGUGAGACCUGGACCCAGAGCUGCAGAAACUCAAACCUGAACUCCAGUUUGUCUGUUUGUCUGGACACUCAUCGAUCUGUUGGUUUGAAAAUGGGGAAAAAACAAAACAAAAACAGAAACAAAAUAAUGUUUUCCUCCAGUUUAUACCAGAAACAGGAACAGGCUGUAGGUGGAGCUGUUUCCUGGUGUGGAUGCCGCUGAUAAAACGUGUUUACUGGUGAUGGGAACCAGAAGAAACACUGGGCCAAACCAUCGGAGCGGCUCCGACUGGUUUCUGAAGCCAAAGAGGAAAAAAAACAAAAACAAAAAACCUGGUAAUGGAAAAAAGGAACCAGAGAUGAGAAAAACUAACAACGGGGAAAAUCAGAUGAAGCAGCAGGAAGGAGACAGGAUGAGGAGAUAGGGACCGUGAUGAGGUGAUCAGAAGGUCUGAGGUUCUACCAAAUGUUGGAGACGUACAGUACAAUCCAGACGAGGCUCGUCCAAUCAGCUGUGACUAUAGUCGCACCAAACAGGAAAUCAAUUUUAACACCUGCUGUGUGUGUGUGUGUGUGUUCUGCUCUCUGCACCGACAACACACGAAAACAACUGGGAUCGAUUGUCAUUCAGGCGGUGAAUGGAAUCGUGAAGCGAAAGGGGAAAAAAAAAAAGAAAAAAAGCCGAGGCUUUACGUUGUUCACAGCAACCGAGUCUCGUUAGUCAAAUUAAUAAUCAUCAAAGAAGUCCGUCUUCGUUAACACCAGUGACUGUUGUGAAGAUUUAAACAAAACAGUCUCCAGUGUUAAAGGUCAGGCCGAACAGAUGUGGUGCAGCGAGUGGACCCUGCACCGGACGUUGGACACACCUGGUUAUUACCUCACAAUGAUAGUGUUUUCACACUGAACAUGUGAGCAGAUGAUGAUGACGAUGAUGUUGUCUUCAUCCUGAAUCGUCUCUCGAUGUGCAAUACGUAUAAAAUAGUAAAGGAAAAAAAUAUUUAACAUUUUCAUCUUAAAUAUGCAACGAGAAAAAAAAGACAAAAAAAUCGAAUUACACCAGUUGAUCUGAAGCACUUUCAAAGACAAACGUGAUCUCAAGAUGAAUAUUAGAGUGUUGGGUGUAGAAGCUGCUGGAACUUCCUUCUCUGUCAUGGUUCUGUCCCAGAGCUGAGUCGACCGUGGUCAGGAGAUGGCGCUCUGCUGUCGGUGGUCUCUCCCGGUACUCUUGUUCUCCUGGUUCUGGAUUUGUUGCAAUAAAGUUUAAAGAUGUAAAAAAAAAAAUGUUGUGUGAUUUUGUAACUCUGUGUCUGGUAGAACCUGGUUCUUUCUAGACUUCAGUCGUUGGAUCAGUCUACAGUCCUGACUGUUGUGUCAGUCAGACCGGUCAGGCUGGUCACCGACACAAGCCGGGCCGCUGACCGGAGGUUGAAGCACCUGCAGACACAUGCUGGGAGUCGAUGAUGAGAUGUUACGAUCCAGUGGAACUAGAACUGUUUCUGGACGGUGGAUUUAUUGGUUACUUUGCACAUGUUUGGCCUUUGAUCCUCAGUAAUAACCCUCAGCGGGAAACUGAUCGCGUGUGGAUCCUCACGCCGGUCAGAUGUAUUUCUUGUUCCUCCCACGCUGCCCGUACAAGACGGAAACAUUCAAUUCUCCUGCGUCUGCAAGGUCAGAGGUCACAGCCGAGGCUGCUGUUGAUGCACCAAGGGAUGGAUUAGAGGAGAGACAAAAGUCAAGGAGUUCCAACCUACGGCUGGACUUUGAAAAUUCCUUCGGUAGAUAAAGCAGCUCCUCCUCCUCCUCUUCCUCCUCCUCUUCCUCGCCCUCCCUCUGUCUUUCCAUUCUACUCCUGCAGCUCGGUGGGAGGCAGCGGGAGGAGAUCCAUGUCCCAGAGGAAGUCUUUGUCAGUAACGGAUCAGCCGCUGCUGCUGCGGUGGCAGGAGCCUCCAUCACCUCCGUGCUGCCUCCCUCUGCCCUGCAGUGAUCGGCUCCAGUGCAGCCUGGAAGCACAGCUGCUGCCGGUGGGAGCCCCGUCCCGUCCCCCCUCCUCACCCCUCACCCACCCCCCCUCCACUGGAGGCUCAUUGGAAACCAGAUCCUGAGUCUCCGUGGAGG